UACGUAGGGACCAAGCGUUGUUCGGAUUUACUGGGCGUAAAGGGCGCGUAGGCGGGCCUUCAGGUCGGGGGUGAAAUACCACAGCUCAACUGUGGAAGUGCCCCCGAUACCGGAGGCCUCGAGGGGGAUAGGGGCGUGUGGAACUUCCGGUGGAGCGGUGAAAUGCGUAGAUAUCGGAAGGAACGCCGGUGGCGAAAGCGACACGCUGGAUCCCUACUGACGCUGAGGCGCGAAAGCCAGGGGAGCAAACGGG
rnacentral:rRNA from 1 species